AGGUCAUGUUGACGACAAUUCCUUAACAAUCAUUUGUAACGCUCCCAUGCCUCAUAUAGUGACUACCCCAGUUGUUGCUCAAAUUUGGCUAAUACCUUCUUGAGUUU